UACGUAGGGGGCAAGCGUUGUCCGGAAUCAUUGGGCGUAAAGAGCGUGUAGGCGGCCAGAUAAGUCCGCUGUGAAAUCUCGAGGCUCAACUUCGAGCUGUCGGUGGAAACUGUCUGGCUAGAGUCCGGAAGAGGAGAAUGGAAUUCCUGGUGUAGCGGUGAAAUGCGCAGAUAUCAGGAAGAACACCCGUGGCGAAGGCGGCCGACUGGGCCGUCUCCGACGCUGAUGCGCGAAAGCGUGGGGAGCAAACAGG
rnacentral:rRNA from 1 species